rnacentral:rRNA from 1 species
CCUACGGGUGGCAGCAGUCGAGAAUCAUUCACAAUGGGGGAAACCCUGAUGGUGCGACGCCGCGUGGGGGAAUGAAGGUCUUCGGAUUGUAAACCCCUGUCAUGUGGGAGCAAAUUAAAAAGAUAGUACCACAAGAGGAAGAGACGGCUAACUCUGUGCCAGCAGCCGCGGUAAUACAGAGGUCUCAAGCGUUAUUCGGAAUCACUGGGCGUAAGGCGUGCGUAGGCUGUUUCGUAAGUCGUGUGUGAAAGGCGCGGGCUCAACCCGCGGACGGCACAUGAUACUGCGAGACUAGAGUAAUGGAGGGGGAACCGGAAUUCUCGGUGUAGCAGUGAAAUGCGUAGAUAUCGAGAGGAACACUCGUGGCGAAGGCGGGUUCCUGGACAUUAACUGACGCUGAGGCACGAAGGCCAGGGGAGCGAAAGGGAUUAGAUACCCUAGUAGUC